CCUACGGGAGGCAGCAGUUAGGAAUCUUGCACAAUGGGCGAAAGCCUGAUGCAGCGACGCCGCGUGGGCGAAGAAGGCCUUCGGGUCGUAAAGCCCUUUUCUGGGGGAAGAGGAAGGACGGUACCCCAGGAAUAAGUCUCGGCUAACUACGUGCCAGCAGCCGCGGUAAAACGUAGGAGGCGAACGUUAUCCGGAUUUACUGGGCGUAAAGCGCGCGAAGGCGGCUUCGCAAGUCGGGCGUGAAAUCUCCCGGCUCAACUGGGAGGGGGCGUUCGAUACUGCGAGGCUUGAGGACGGGAGAGGGGAGUGGAAUUCCCGGUGUAGCGGUGGAAUGCGCAGAGAUCGGGAGGAACACCAGUGGCGAAGGCGGCUCCCUGGCCCGGUCCUGACGCUCAAGCGCGAAAGCGUGGGGAGCGAACGGGAUUAGAUACCCUUGUAGU
rnacentral:rRNA from 1 species